rnacentral:rRNA from 1 species
UAUACAAAGGUAUUGAAAUAAGAUUUUAAAUGAGUGCUAAGAGRAUGAUUGAACAAUUAUAGGCUUUCUUUAGUUAAAUAAUUAAAUUUAAUUUUUUUAGUGCAAAAGCAAAAAUUAAAUUUAGGGACAAGAAGACCCUAUGAAUUUUAAUUUAAUUUAUAAUUUGAAAUUUUAAAUUAAAUUUGAUUGGGGCGAUGGAAAAAGAAUGAGUAUCUUUUUUAGUUCUAAAAAUUGGCUCCGAU